rnacentral:rRNA from 1 species
CUUCCGCAAUGGACGAAAGUCUGACGGAGCAAUGCCGCGUGAAUGAAGAAGGUCUUCGGAUCGUAAAAUUCUGUUGUUAGAGAAGAACAAGGAGUAGGUAACUACUACUCCCUUGACGGUAUCUAACCAGAAAGCCACGGCUAACUACGUGCCAGCAGCCGCGGUAAUACGUAGGGGGCUAGCGUUAUCCGGAAUUACUGGGCGUAAAGGGUGCGUAGGUGGUUUCUUAAGUCAGAGGUGAAAGGCUACGGCUCAACCGUAGUAAGCCUUUGAAACUGGGAAACUUGAGUGCAGGAGAGGAGAGUGGAAUUCCUAGUGUAGCGGUGAAAUGCGUAGAUAUUAGGAGGAACACCAGUAGCGAAGGCGGCUCUCUGGACUGUAACUGACGCUGAGGCACGAAAGCGUGGGGAGCAAACAGG